rnacentral:rRNA from 1 species
UCGGGAAUUUUGGGCAAUGGGCGAAAGCCUGACCCAGCAACGCCGCGUGAGGGAUGAAGUAUUUUGGUAUGUAAACCUCGAAAGAAUGGGAAGAAUAAAUGACGGUACCAUUUAUAAGCUCCGGCUAACUACGUGCCAGCAGCCGCGGUAAUACGUAGGGAGCAAGAGUUGUUCGGAUUUACUGGGCGUAAAGGGCGCGUAGGCGGCGCGGUAAGUCACUUGUGAAAUCUCUGAGCUUAACUCAGAACGGCCAAGUGAUACUGCUGUGCUAGAGUGCGGAAGAGGCAACCGGAAUCCUUGGUGUAGCGGUGAAAUGCGUAGAUAUCAAGAGGAACACCUGAGGCGAAGGCGGGUUGCUGGGCCGACACUGACGCUGAUGCGCGAAAGCCAGGGGAGCAAACG